GAAUGCUUCUCAUAAAAUUACGAUUAUGGUGAGAGCGCUGACUAGGGAUAUAAUUGAACCCAUUGAGGAAAUGGUAUUUCAAAUAGCAUAGGCGUCUGGGAAGUCCGAGUAUCGUCGAGGUAUUCCUGCGAGGCCUAGUAUAUGUUGUGGGAAGAAAGUGAUGUUGACUCCUGUGAACAUGGCUCAGAAUUGGGCUUUUGCUAGGGUUGAGUUUAGUGAGUAUCCUGUUAGUAUUGGGAAUCAGUAUACUAGUCCAGCUAUGAUGGCGAAUACGGCUCCUAUGGAGAGUACGUAGUGGAAGUGGGCAACUACGUAAUAUGUGUCAUGUAGUAUUGUGUCUAGGGAAGAGUUUGAUAAUAUAAUGCCGGUGAGGCCGCCGAGUGUAAAUAGGUAAAUGAAUCCUGCAGCUCAGAAUAUUGGUACGGUUCAACGGAUUUUUCCGCCGAAGAUUACUUCCGGGUGGCCAAAGAAUCAGAAUAAGUGUUGGAAUAGGAUUGGGUCUCCUCCUCCAUUUGGGUCAAAGAAGGUGGUGUUUAGGUUUCGGUCUGUUAGUAGUAUGGUGAUGGCUGCGGCUAGUACUGGGAGUGAUAGUAGUAGAAGAAUGGCUGUGAGGAAAACUGAUCAGACGAAUAGGGGUCAGUUGUACGGAGAUAUGUGGUGGGGAGAUAUGUUGAUGCAGGUGGUAAUGAAAUUAAUUGCGCCAAGGAUGGAGGAUGCUCCUGCUAAGUGUAGGGCGAAGAUGGCAAGGUCUAUUGAUGGGCCGGCGUGGGCUAGGUUUCC
rnacentral:lncRNA from 1 species